rnacentral:rRNA from 1 species
GACCUCAAAUCAGGUAAGAAUACCCGCUGAACUUAAGCAUAUCAAUAAGCGGAGGAAAAGAAAAUAACAAUGAUUCCCUCAGUAACGGCGAGCGAAGAGGGAUAAGCUCAAAUUUUAAAUCUGUUGGGUUCCACUUAACAGAGUUGUAUUUUGAAGAAACGUUUUCUGCAUCCAGGAUUAGCCUAAAUCCUUUGGGAUAAGGUAUCAUGGAGGGUGAGAAUCCCGUUCAUGGUUAAUCUUAAGGAAGCUCUACGAUACGUUUUCCAAGAGUCGAGUUGUUUGGGAUUGCAGCUCAAAAUGGGAGGUAAAUUUCUCCUAAGGCUAAAUAUUGGCGAGAGACCGAUAGCGAACAAGUACCGUGAGGGAAAGAUGAAAAGAACUUUGAAAAGAGAGUUAAACAGUACGUGAAAUUGUUGAAAGGGAAACGAUUGAAGUCAGUCAUACCAACGGGAAAUCAACCUUUUGAGCUCGGUCUCGUGGGUUUUGAAGAGUUUCAAAGCCUUCGGAUUCGCGGGAUUGGGAUCUCUUGGUGUACUUUUUCGUACGGUUAGUCAACAUCGGUUUUGAAUGUCAUAAAAUGACUGGAGGAAUGUAGCUUCGAUCUCGUAUUGAAGUGUUAUAGCCUUUGGUAGAUGUGAUGUUUGAGACCGAGGAUUGCAACGGAUACCCUUCAGGGCUAUUCGUCUGAUCUCUGAUACGUUGCCUUGAUGUUGAAAGCUUGCUUAUGAUGUUAGGGUAUUACGGUCAAAAGGUUAGAACGAAUUAGAUUCGUUAAGGAUGUUGACGUAAUGACUUUAAACGACCCGUCUUGAAACACGGACCAAGGAGUCUAACAUAUAUGCGAGUGUUUGGGUGAUUAAACCCUUGCGCGUAAUGAAAGUAAUUUUGGUGAGAUCCGGGAAAAAAUUUUCGGAGCAUCAUCGACCGAUCAGGAUAUUU